GACGAACGCUGGCGGCGUGCUUAACACAUGCAAGUCGAACGAAGUGGCGAACGGGUGAGUAAGGCGUAAUCAACCUGCCCUUCAGAGGGGGACAACAGUUGGAAACGACUGCUAAUACCGCAUACUGAAGGUGGGGCUUGCGGCUGAUUAGGUAGUUGGAGGGGGAACGGCCCACCAAGGCGAUGAUCAGUAGCCGGUCUGAGAGGGUGAACGGCCACAUGGGGACUGGUGCACGGCCCCGACUCCUACGGGAGGCAACAGUGGGGAAUCUUCCGCAAUGGACGAAAGUCUGGCGGAGCAACGCCGCGUGAGUGAUGACGGCCUUCGGGUUGUAAAGCUCUGUUAAUCGGGACGCGGUACCGGAAUAGAAAGCCACGGCUAACUACGUGCCAGCAGCCGCGGUAAUAC
rnacentral:rRNA from 1 species